rnacentral:rRNA from 1 species
ACAUUACCUAUACAAGAAGCACCGGCUAACUCCGUGCCAGCAGCCGCGGUAAUACGGAGGGUGCAAGCGUUAAUCGGAAUUACUGGGCGUAAAGCGUGCGUAGGCGGCUCGUUAAGUCAGAUGUGAAAGCCCCGGGCUUAACCUGGGAAUGGCAUUUGAUACUGGCGAGCUAGAGUUGAGUAGAGGGGAGUGGAAUUUCAGGUGUAGCGGUGAAAUGCGUAGAGAUCUGAAGGAACACCAGUGGCGAAGGCGACUCCCUGGACUCAAACUGACGCUGAGGUACGAAAGCGUGGGUAGCAAACAGGAUUAGAUACCCUGGUAGUCCACGCCGUAAACGAUGUCAACUAGCCGUUGGUCCAAUAUAUAGGAUUAGUGGCGCAGCUAACGCAUUAAGUUGACCGCCUGGGGAGUACGGCCGCAAGGUUAAAACUCAAAUGAAUUGACGGGGGCCCGCACAAGCGGUGGAGCAUGUGGUUUAAUUCGAUGCAACGCGAAGAACCUUACCUACCCUUGACAUCCAGAGAAUCUGUGAGAGAUCGUAGAGUGCCUUCG